rnacentral:rRNA from 1 species
GAUGAACGCUAGCGGCAGGCAUAACACAUGCAAGUUGAACGGGAUUGAUUGUAGCAAUACGGUCAUGAGAGUGGCGCACGGGUGCGUAACACGUAUGCAACCUGCCUUGAACUGGGGGAUAGCCCUGCGAAAGUAGGAUUAAUACCCCAUAACAUAUAGUUAUGGCAUCAUAGUUAUAUUAAAGCUCCGGCGGUUCAAGAUGGGCAUGCGGCUAAUUAGCUAGUUGGCGAGGUAAUGGCUCACCAAGGCGACGAUCAGUAGGGGGUCUGAGAGUAGGGCCCCCCACACUGGUACGGAGACACGGACCAGACUCCUACGGGAGGCAGCAGUAGGGAAUAUUGGUCAAUGGGCGCAAGCCUGAACCAGCCAUGCCGCGUGCAGGAAGACUGCCCUAUGGGUUGUAAACUGCUUUUGUUAGGGAAGAAACCCUUCUACGUGUAGAAGGCUGACGGUACCUAAAGAAUAAGGAUCGGCUAACUUCGUGCCAGCAGCCGCGGUAA